AGCAGCCGCGGUAAUUCCAGCUCCAAUAGCGUAUAUUAAAGUUGCUGCAGUUAAAAAGCUCGUAGUUGAAUUUCGGGACUAAUAUGUUGGUCGUGCCUCGGUACGUACUGAUAUUUUUGGUUUCUCCCUUCUGACGAACCUUGAUGUCAUUAAUUUGGUGUCUUGGGAAAUCAGGACUGUUACUUUGAAAAAAUUAGAGUGUUUAAAGCAGGCUCACGCUUGAAUACAUUAGCAUGGAAUAAUGAAAUAGGACGUUUGAUUCUAUUUUGUUGGUUUCUAGGAUUGACGUAAUGAUUAAUAGGGAUAGUUGGGGGCAUUAGUAUUCAAUUGUCAGAGGUGAAAUUCUUGGAUUUAUUGAAGACUAACUACUGCGAAAGCAUUUGCCAAGGAUGUUUUCAUUAAUCAAGAACGAAAGUUAGGGGAUCGAAGACGAUCAGAUACCGUCGUAGUCUUAACCAUAAACUAUGCCGACUAGGGAUCGGGUGAUGUUAAUUUUUAAUGACUCAUUCGGCGCCUUACG
rnacentral:rRNA from 1 species